AAUGCGUUUUGAGAUGGUCCUGCGGCCUAUCAGCUAGAUUGGUGGGGUAACGGCCUACCAAGGCUACGACGGGUAUCCGGUCUGAAAGGGUGAACGGACACACUGGAACUGAGACACGGUCCAGACUCCUACGGGAGGCAGCAGUGGGGAAUUUUGGACAAUGGGGGAAACCCUGAUCCAGCGACGCCGCGUGGAGGAUGAAGGUCUUCGGAUUGUAAACUCCUUUUAGAGGGGAAGAAAAAAAUGACGGUACCCUAAGAAAAAGCCACGGCUAACUACGUGCCAGCAGCCGCGGUAAUACGUAGGUGGCGAGCGUUACUCGGAAUUACUAGGCGUAAAGCGUAUGUAGGCGGUUAGAAUAAGUCUUUAGUGAAAUUUCUCUGCUCAACAGGGAAGGGUCUAAGGAUACUGUUUGACUUGAGUGUUGGAGGGGGAGACGGAAUUCCUGGUGUAGCGGUGAAAUGCGUAGAUAUCAGGAGGAACACCGAUGGCGAAAGCAGUCUCCUGGCCAAAUACUGACGCUAAUGUACGAAAGCUAGGGUAGCAAACAGGAUUAGAUACCCUGGUAGUCCUAGCUGUAAACGAUGUUCACUAGAUGUGGGAGGUAUCGACCCCUUCCGCGUCGACGCUAACGCAUUAAGUGAACCGCCUGGGGAGUACGGCCGCAAGGUUGAAACUCAAAGGAAUUGACGGGGGCCCGCACAAGCGGUGGAGUAUGUGGUUUAAUUCGACGCAACGCGAAAAACCUUACCUGGGCUUGAACUGCUAAUGGUAAAAGCCGGAAACGGUGAUGACCCGCAAGGGAGUUAGUAGAGGUGCUGCAUGGCUGUCGUCAGCUCGUGUCGUGAGAUGUUGGGUUAAGUCCCGCAACGAGCGCAACCCUUAUCCCAUGUUACCUGUAGCAAUACAGGGUCUCUGAGGAAACUGCCAUUGAUAAAAUGGAGGAAGGUGGGGAUGACGUCAAGUCAUCAUGGCCUUUAUGUCCAGGGCUACACACGUACUACAAUGGUCGGUACAGAAGGUAGCGAUAUCGCAAGAUGGAGCAAAUCCUUAAAGCCGGCCUCAGUUCAGAUUGUGGGCUGCAAUUCGCCCACAUGAAGUAGGAAUC
rnacentral:rRNA from 1 species